AAAAAACAAUUUCCCCAAAUCUAAACCCUUAAUUUUUCCCCAACCCACCCUUAAUUUUUCUCAUUCCUCUUGUACUCGUCUUCUCCCCAAUCCGGUCAUCUUUCGUCGCCACCACCGCCCCCUCGUGCCCGUCCGUUCCGUCCGUUCAAAUCUCCUCCCUGUCGCCACCACCGCCCCGUCGCCACAACCUCCUCAAACUUUUCAAUUCGUACCUGUCCGUUCAAACCUCCUCCGUGUCGCCACCACCGCCCCAAAGCUCCGUAAUCACUUCAAACUUCAAACCGUGGUCAUCACCCAUUCGCCGAUAAGCUUCGCUUCCUUAUCUCUUUCUCUCUCUCUCUAUGAAGUUUUCUCCCUAAUUUGUUCCUGUGAUUAUUUUUAGAAUCAUGUGAGGACACUAUUGGCACACAUGGGUGGACGGUAGGGCCUUGGCUGCAUGUUGGACUGCUUGCAUGCUAACCUCUUAAGAGGUUUGUUGCGUGUGAUGAGCAUGCCCACGUGCUAACCUCACGCAUAGGCAUGUCACACGUCUCUCUUGGCCACAUGUUGGUGUCCCAUGCAUCUUGGGCAUAAAUCGUGCGUCUAACAUCAACCCAUGCUCAGAAUAACCUCUAUGACCUCAAAACACACACUCAUCUCACCUACACAUGUAAACCUCUCAGCCACUACCCAAAACACUUUUUAAUUCUAUUAUAAAGUUGCUCUAAAUUGUCUUAAAUAUGUUACCUCAAAUUUCGAAGGAAAGUUCCAAGUCAUAAAUCUUGUAGCGCUCUAAAAGUUCAAGUUGCUCAAAUUAUUCAAGAAAAUGACAUUCUCGCUUAACUAAAAUGUCAACACUUCUGAUUCUAAAAUGCACAUCAGCCUUCUCUCACAAACUAGAUUAAAUUUAUGAUCUUUUAAGCCAAAUUUGAGUAAUUUUGCACCAGUAAGUCCUAAGAAAUUCAUUGUUGAAGUUGGACUAUUUAUAGAGUUCCUUGCAUGAGAUUAAUAUGACAUUUAAUUUUUUAUUAGACUCGCCUCUUAAGCUUUUAUUUAGACCUUAGCAUCUCCUCCACAUCCUCUUUGGCCUCAAAAUGUAUGUUUGCAUGGUUAAGACACCUAGAUUAACUUUAAAUCACUUGCUUAAAACAUGCCACAUACUUGUCUUAAAUGCAUAGCUAACGUCCAAACCAUCUCACAUAGCCUUGCCUUAGCCACCUACUUUCCUUGUGUGCAUCCUUUUUUGCCUAGUCAAGUUUUUCCCACAUAACUAACUUCUCAUGGACAGUCUUCUACGCAUGCCACCCUCCUUCUCUCCUAUCAAGCCAAACAAAACUCUAAAUGCCUAAGAUUGGAGGUUAUCAAGCCUCAUCUUGUCGUCUGUUGACACAACUUUUGAGGUUCCUUAGCCUUUCUUCGAUACCCACAUAACCUCUAAACAACCAAAAUCAAAUCUUUUCACACUUCGUCAAAUUUCCAACUUUUCUUUUCCCCUUGAGCAUAAACAUUUCAUUCUUAAGCUUCCAAGUAUUUUAUUUUAUUUUUUUAUAAAUUUCAUUGUCUCCUAUCUUGACCAACUUAAUAAGUUCCAAGGAUAAUGAAAUUUUUAGGGUUCACAUUGAGAACUAUGUAUUUUCUUUUAUUAAAAUGUAUUAUAUAAGUGUUUUACGUUGGGUUUUAUGUCCUAAAACUUGUAGAUAGUAAAGGUAAUUUGUUGACCAUUAUUAAUAAAAUGUUAUUAGUAUUAUUUCAAUAAAUCGUUGUUGAUUAUAAUAUUAGUUUUUUCUUAAUAACCUAAAUCCAAUAAAUCAACAACCUAAGUUGUUUGAUGAGUCUUGAACAAUAUGUAGAGACAUAUAAGGAUUAAUGUUCGAGAUACAACUUAAAGGGUCUAUACUCUAGGGAUAAGUCUGGGUACCUUAUCCUAGUAACAAUAUGAAUAUGGAUCACUUUGUAUUUGAUACAAAUGUAAGGAUCCAACACGUUCGUGUAGGUGACACGCGGUGAGGAUAUCAUAUGCAAUGAGUUUGCAUAAGAUCAGACCACGAAAGAGUAACCAUUAGAUGUAACUCCAUUAAUGUUAAGUUUCUAUUUUAUUCGAAUAACCUAGGUAACAUAGUCUUAUUCCUUAGUGUAUUAUGAACUCAUGUUCGCUAGAGAUUGUCCUUUGAUUAGUAAGGGUGAGAGUGGCCAGUUUUUCAACUCAAUAUGUUUAUCAUUUUGAGGACACGACUGAGUGAGGAGAUGAAAAUAUAAUCACACAAAAUGGAAUUCACUCAUUCCCGAUUUUAGGGUAAGUAGAUGAGUAUCCCUAAAAUGGUGUCUUUAGGACUUGAAUAAAGGGUCCUACCCUCUCUAUGGCACGAGAGGGGUUUUUGUUUAUUGGUUGGACCAUAAACAUGUUGUUCAUUAGAGGAGCACUACUAUUUAAGAACUAGAAGUAAUCUAGGGAUAAAAGGGUAGUUUGACCCAUCAGAUGUUACGAACACUAGUGAAUGACUAAAUGUAUACCUCGAACCGUAAAGAACUAAGAUUUUUUUUAAGAGCUUGAAAGGGUUUUGAUUUUAAGUGAUGUUAACACAAGGAAGUAGACUUGAUAAGUGUGUUAUGAUGGGUAAAAUAAUGGAAGAUUAAGUGGUUGUUGUUUAAAAGUUAAGAAGAAAUUAAGUUAAAAGAGGAAAAAUUUUAGCUAAGUAUCAAAGAAUAGCACAUUUGGCAUCUUGGAGAUGUGUCUAAGCAUUAUGGGUUAGCUUGGCAAAAUAGCUAUAGUGGUUAGAAAGGGUUUUGGAUGUUUAAGGUUGGCGAGAAAGAAGGAACAUAAAGGUUAGGCGUUUUAACUAACUUCAGAUAGUAGUUUUUCACAACUCACUUUGGAAUUUUCAUUCAAAUUGGUCUUGAAAGUUCAAAAUUAUGUCUAUUUUUUUAAGGAAUGAUGCUUGGAAUUUUGGAUACAAGAAAGUUUGCAUUUUGGAUAAGGGAAGGCGAGAAGGUCAGUUCUCGAGUGAACCCGAGUAAGGUGCAGUCCCUGAAGGCUACAUAACUCAUCAUUUGGCGUUUUGCUCUAAAAUUUUGAGGUAAGAAAUUAACUCAUUUUACAGCAACUUUGUAGAAUGAAGUUUUAUCAAAAGAGCUAUGUAUUUUAAGUUAUAGUUUUUCUAAAUAGGGUUAUGUAGUCUUGGCGAGAAAUUAAGCGAGAUGGUCAUGUAGGCAAGCUUGCGUUUUGGACAACUACGUGACAUGAUUAAGGCAAUCGAUUCAAGAAGUAAGUGAAGUGUCAAAGCUUUGUUAGCAUAAAUUUUAAGGUGUAAAGUAAGUGUGAGGUGUCUUAAUAAGGUUUAAGGUGGCUUUAAGCAAGAAUGAGAUGUCAACUUGUACUCAUGCAAGGAACUCUAUAAAUAGGUCAACUUCAGUUUUGAAUUUCUCACAAUCCACUUGUGCGUUUUGAGUAAAACUCCCAAAAGUUUCCAUUUGGAGUCUAUUUUAUGUAUUAGGGUUGCUGGUUUAAUUUGAGUAAGGGAGGAUUGAGUUUGAGUUGAAGAAAGUAAGGAAUGUUAGCAUUUGGGUGAUUAUGGGCAAGGUGAACUUCCAGAGGAUUGUGGAGUUCAUCUGUUGAAAUUUGAAGCUGAAAUUUUGAGGUAAAAAUUUUAUGGAAGAAAGUAUUUUCAUUUGAGUUCUAGAUUUAUAAUUAUUAACCUCUAAAGUAGAGGUAAGGUUCUGGACGAAAAUGAGCUUCUAGGUAGUAGAGGUUAUUGACCGAGAGGUGGUCUACGUUAGGCGAGAUGGCGAGGUGUUUUGAGUUCAGUAAGGUUAGCAUGGCGUUUUGAAUUGGCUUGAACAUACAAGACGUGUAAGAUGUGCUGUCAGCCCUGCGCACGAAGAGGACGUGCGCAAGAGGCUACGCGAGACACUAGGCAUGCGACCAAGUGAGGUGCGCGGUGUGCCUGUGCGUGAUGUUAACACACGGGCAUGCUCAGCGCACAUGGUAAACCUCUUAUGAGGUUAGCGUGGGUAGUCUAGCACACGAGGCCAAUGCCUUAUCGCCCAUCCCUACGCGCGAGCCAUGUCAAAUGAGUGUCAUGGGGAUGUUUUGGGAAAUUUUAAGCAAAUUUAUGAUGUUUUCAUGAAUAAAGGGAAUUAAAUGGAUUUAUUUCCCGUUAUUUCAGAUAAAGAGGAGAUCAGGAAAUUUAUAAACCAAAGGUUUUAAGCUACUAUCUGUAAGUGAUAAAAUGAAUUUUAAUUUUAAUUAUGAGUUUAUUUAUCUAUCAAAUUUUUUAGGCAUGGUUUGAUGUAUGAAUUAUUUGACUUUUCUGAUUUAGUAAAAUAUUUCCAAAGCAUGAGAUUUGAAAUGAUUGUUAAAGAAUUAUUUUAGAAUGUUUUAGACUAUAUUGUUCAAUAUAUAUAUAUAUAUAUGAACCCUUCAGGGGUUUAUGGCCUAUGCACAGAGGUUCCUUUGAUAGAGGUAUUCAAUAGAUACCUAUGUAUGUUUAUCAUUGGGACAAAUUUAUGAGAAGAGGGUUCAACAGUUAUGAUAUCUGUAAGUUAUUCACCUCAUAGUAAUUAAGCUAUAACGAGAUGGAGCACUACUGAUGUCUGGAUUCUGCCUCGUAAAUAUCAUAUAACAAGAUGAGGAUCGUCAGAGGGUCCACCUUGUGUUUCAUAUGGUAUAGCAAGUAAAUUAAGUUAAUUAUGCUAAAUGUGUAGUUUAAAAGUAAAUUGUUUUGAAAAGUAUGUUUUAAUAAAACCAUCACUCACUGCGCUAUUUUAGCUCACUCUCUCCAAAUGCUUUUCUCACUUUCCAGGUAAAGGUCGUGAUCCAAGGACCUAACCGUUGUCUUCAGACUGCUGUGCGAAGUUGUUGAUAGUUUAGUUACUAAAGGUCAAUCUUACUUUAAACAUUAUCGUGUACAUGGUUUUGCAUAACGUUAAGCAUAGUUUAAUUUAUGUUUGGUCUGUAACUAUAGUUUUUAAUUAAUAGCAUCUAGCCUUGAAUAUUUGUUAAAUAUAUAUAGGUUUGUUAAGCUUGUUUCUCAUAGUUCUGUUGCAUAAGUUUUAAUUUACUUAAGUUGUUAAGCAUUGUAAAAUAUCAAUAAUCAAGGUCAACUGGUGUUAUUCAGAAGGGGAGCAAUGUCAGUUGGCUUCACGCCACGUCUCAGAGUGAGCGAGCAGGUACUUGGGGCGGAGUGUGACAUUAACUGUAAUGUAUGGUGAUAUAUUAUAAUAUAAAGUUUAUAUUUUAAUUAAA